ensembl:miRNA MIR26A2 microRNA 26a-2
GGCUGCGGCCAGGUUCAAGUAAUCCAGGAUAGGCUGUGUCCAGCUGCUGGCCUAUUCUUGAUUACUUGUUUCUGGAGGCAGCU